rnacentral:rRNA from 1 species
AUUGAACGCUGGCGGCAUGCCUUACACAUGCAAGUCGAACGGCAGCACGGGAGCAAUCCUGGUGGCGAGUGGCGAACGGGUGAGUAAUAUAUCGGAACGUGCCCAGUCGUGGGGAUAACGCAGCGAAAGCUGUGCUAAUACCGCAUACGAUCUUCGGAUGAAAGCGGGGGAUCGCAAGACCUCGCGCGAUUGGAGCGGCCGAGAUCAGAUUAGCUAGUUGGUGGGGUAAAGGCCCACCAAGGCGACGAUCUGUAGCUGGUCUGAGAGGACGACCAGCCACACUGGAACUGAGACACGGUCCAGACUCCUACGGGAGGCAGCAGUGGGGAAUUUUGGACAAUGGGCGCAAGCCUGAUCCAGCAAUGCCGCGUGCAGGAUGAAGGCCUUCGGGUUGUAAACUGCUUUUGUACGGAACGAAACGGCCCUUUCUAAUACAGGGGGCUAAUGACGGUACCGUAAGAAUAAGCACCGGCUAACUACGUGCCAGCCGCCGCCGUAACAC